rnacentral:rRNA from 1 species
AUGAACGCUAGCUACAGGCUUAACACAUGCAAGUCGAGGGGCAGCAUGAACUUAGCUUGCUAAGUUUGAUGGCGACCGGCGCACGGGUGAGUAACACGUAUCCAACCUGCCGAUGACUCGGGGAUAGCCUUUCGAAAGAAAGAUUAAUACCCGAUGGCAUAGUUCUUCCGCAUGGUAGAACUAUUAAAGAAUUUCGGUCAUCGAUGGGGAUGCGUUCCAUUAGGUUGUUGGCGGGGUAACGGCCCACCAAGCCUUCGAUGGAUAGGGGUUCUGAGAGGAAGGUCCCCCACAUUGGAACUGAGACACGGUCCAAACUCCUACGGGAGGCAGCAGUGAGGAAUAUUGGUCAAUGGACGAGAGUCUGAACCAGCCAAGUAGCGUGAAGGAUGACUGCCCUAUGGGUUGUAAACUUCUUUUAUACGGGAAUAAAGUGAGGCACGUGUGCCUUUUUGUAUGUACCGUAUGAAUAAGGAUCGGCUAACUCCGUGCCAGCAGCCGCGGUAAUACGGAGGAUCCGAGCGUUAUCCGGAUUUAUUGGGUUUAAAGGGAGCGUAGGCGGACGCUUAAGUCAGUUGUGAAAGUUUGCGGCUCAACCGUAAAAUUGCAGUUGAUACUGGGUGUCUUGAGUACAGUAGAGGCAGGCGGAAUUCGUGGUGUAGCGGUGAAAUGCUUAGAUAUCACGAAGAACUCCGAUUGCGAAGGCAGCUUGCUGGACUGUAACUGACGCUGAUGCUCGAAAGUGUGGGUAUCAAACAGGAUUAGAUACCCUGGUAGUCCACACAGUAAACGAUGAAUACUCGCUGUUUGCGAUAUACAGUAAGCGGCCAAGCGAAAGCGUUAAGUAUUCCACCUGGGGAGUACGUUCGCAAGAAUGAAACUCAAAGGAAUUGACGGGGACCCGCACAAGCGGUGGAGCAUGUGGUUUAAUUCGAAGCAACGCGAAGAACCUUACCAAGUCUUGACAUCGUGGCGACCGGAACUUAACCGUUCCUUCCCUUCGGGGCGCUAUAGACAGGUGGUGCAUGGUUGUCGUCAGCUCGUGCCGUGAGGUGUCGGCUUAAGUGCCAUAACGAGCGCAACCCUUAUCGAUAGUUACCAUCAGGUUAUGCUGGGGACUCUGUCGAGACUGCCGUCGUAAGAUGUGAGGAAGGUGGGGAUGACGUCAAAUCAGCACGGCCCUUACGUCCGGGGCUACACACGUGUUACAAUGGGGGGUACAGAAGGCAGCUACACGGCGACGUGAUGCUAAUCCCGAAAGCCUCUCUCAGUUCGGAUUGGAGUCUGCAACCCGACUCCAUGAAGCUGGAUUCGCUAGUAAUCGCGCAUCAGCCACGGCGCGGUGAAUACGUUCCCGGGCCUUGUACACACCGCCCGUCAAGCCAUGAAAGCCGGGGGUACCUGAAGUGCGUAACCGCAAGGAGCGCCCUAGGGUAAAACUGGUGAUUGGGGCU